GGAAAGUCCGACGGUACAGGGUGAUAGUCCCGUACACGAAAAUGCACAUGCUGUGAACUCGAAGAGUAGGGCGGGACACGUGGUAUCCUGUCUGAAUAUGGGGGGACCAUCCUCCAAGGCUAAAUACUCCUGACUGACCGAUAGUGAACCAGUACCGUGAGGGAAAGGCGAAAAGAACCCCGGCGAGGGGAGUGAAAAAGAACCUGAAACCGUGUACGUACAAGCAGUGGGAGCCUCUUUAUGGGGUGACUGCGUACCUUUUGUAUAAUGGGUCAGCGACUUAUAUUCUGUAGCAAGGUUAACCGUAUAGGGGAGCCGAAGGGAAACCGAGUCUUAACUGGGCGUUAAGUUGCAGGGUAUAGACCCGAAACCCGGUGAUCUAGCCAUGGGCAGGUUGAAGGUUGGGUAACACUAACUGGAGGACCGAACCGACUAAUGUUGAAAAAUUAGCGGAUGACCUGUGGCUGGGGGUGAAAGGCCAAUCAAACCGGGAGAUAGCUGGUUCUCCCCGAAAGCUAUUUAGGUAGCGCCUCGUGAACUCAUCUUCGGGGGUAGAGCACUGUUUCGGCUAGGGGGCCAUCCCGGCUUACCAACCCGAUGCAAACUACGAAUACCGAAGAAUGUUAUCACGGGAGACACACGGCGGGUGCUAACGUCCGUCGUGAAGAGGGAAACAACCCAGACCGCCAGCUAAGGUCCCAAAGUCAUGGUUAAGUGGGAAACGAUGUGGGAAGGCACAGACAGCCAGGAUGUUGGCUUAGAAGCAGCCAUCAUUUAAAGAAAGCGUAAUAGCUCACUGGUCGAGUCGGCCUGCGCGGAAGAUGUAACGGGGCUAAACCAUGCACCGAAGCUGCGGCAGCGACACUAUGUGUUGUUGGGUAGGGGAGCGUUCUGUAAGCCGUUGAAGGUGUGCUGUGAGGCAUGCUGGAGGUAUCAGAAGUGCGAAUGCUGACAUAAGUAACGAUAAAGCGGGUGAAAAGCCCGCUCGCCGGAAGACCAAGGGUUCCUGUCCAACGUUAAUCGGGGCAGGGUGAGUCGACCCCUAAGGCGAGGCCGAAAGGCGUAGUCGAUGGGAAACAGGUUAAUAUUCCUGUACUUGGUGUUACUGCGAAGGGGGGACGGAGAAGGCUAUGUCAGCCGGGCGACGGUUGUCCCGGUUUAAGCAUGUAGGCGGAGGUUCCAGGUAAAUCCGGUACCUU
rnacentral:rRNA from 1 species